GAAACCAACAGGGAUUGCCCUAGUAACGGCGAGUGAAGCGGCAACAGCUCAAAUUUGAAAUCUGGCGCAAGCCCGAGUUGUAAUUUGUAGAGGAUGCUUCUGGGUAGCGGCCGGUCUAAGUUCCUUGGAACAGGACGUCAUAGAGGGUGAGAAUCCCGUAUGUGACUGGCUUGCACCCUCCACGUAGCUCCUUCGACGAGUCGAGUUGUUUGGGAAUGCAGCUCUAAAUGGGAGGUAAAUUUCUUCUAAAGCUAAAUACCGGCCAGAGACCGAUAGCGCACAAGUAGAGUGAUCGAAAGAUGAAAAGCACUUUGGAAAGAGAGUUAAAAAGCACGUGAAAUUGUUGAAAGGGAAGCGCCCGCAACCAGACUUUGCGGCAGUGUUCGGCCGGUCUUCUGACCGGUUUACUCGCUGUCGUGAGGCCAUCAUCGUCUGGGACCGCUGGAUAAGAACUUAGGAAUGUAGCUCCCCUCGGGGAGUGUUAUAGCCUCUGGUGAUGCGGCGCGUCUCGGGCGAGGUCCGCGCUUCGGCAAGGAUGAUGGCGUAAUGGUUGUCGGCGGCCCGUCUUGAAACACGGACCAAGGAGUCUAACAUCUAUGCGAGUGUUCGGGUGUCAAACCCCUACGCGUAAUGAAAGUGAACGGAGGUGGGAACUUUUUGUGCACCAUCGACCGAUCCUGAUGUCCUCGGAUGGAUUUGAGUAAGAGCAUAGCUGUUGGGACCCGAAAGAUGGUGAACUAUGCCUGAAUAGGGUGAAGCCAGAGGAAACUCUGGUGGAGGCUCGCAGCGGUUCUGACGUGCAAAUCGAUCGUCAAAUUUGGGUAUAGGGGCGAAAGACUAAUCGAACCAU
rnacentral:rRNA from 1 species